ACUGAACGCUGGCGGCAUGCUUUACACAUGCAAGUCGAACGGCAGCAUAGGUGCUUGCACCUGAUGGCGAGUGGCGAACGGGUGAGUAAUAUAUCGGAACAUGUCCGGAAGUGGGGGAUAACGUAGCGAAAGUUACGCUAAUACCGCAUAUGCCCUGAGGGGGAAAGGAGGGGAUCGCAAGACCUUUCGCUUUCGGAAUGGCCGAUAUCGGAUUAGCUAGUAGGUGAGGUAAAGGCUCACCUAGGCGACGAUCCGUAGCUGGUCUGAGAGGACGACCAGCCACACUGGGACUGAGACACGGCCCAGACUCCUACGGGAGGCAGCAGUGGGGAAUUUUGGACAAUGGGCGCAAGCCUGAUCCAGCCAUGCCGCGUGAGUGAAGAAGGCCUUCGGGUUGUAAAGCUCUUUCAGCUGGAAAGAAAUCAUGCUUACUAAUACUAAGUGUGGAUGACGGUACCAGCAGAAGAAGCACCGGCUAACUACGUGCCAGCCGCCGCCGUAAUAC
rnacentral:rRNA from 1 species